rnacentral:RNase_P_RNA from 1 species
CGAGUCGGUCGGGCGGCCGCGAUGUUUCUGCCUAGCGGAAGUAUCGAGGAAAGUCCGGACUCCCCAGGGCAGGGUGAUGGCUAACGCCCAUCCGGAGCGAUCCGCGGGACAGUGCCACAGAGAAUAGACCGCCGCCUUCGGGCGGUAAGGGUGAAACGGUGGUGUAAGAGACCACCAGCGGCCGGGGUGACCCGGGCGGCUUGGUAAACCCCACCUGGAGCAAGGCCAAGAGGUCGGCGCCUGGCGUCGGCUGCGCGAACGAUUGAGGGCUGCCCGCCCGAGUUCGCGGGUGGGCUGCAUCAGGCUGCCGGCAACGGCAGUCGCAGAUGGAUGGUCGCCCCCGGGCAACCGGGACAGAAUCCGGCUUACAGACCGACUCGUCCG